CUCUUUAAGCGUAGUUUUCGCGUAACCGGUUUCUGUUUGCAAACUAAACAACCUGCUGAUCUUUAGGCUCAUUCGAAUCUUAUUGGAGGCUUAAUCUUCCCUAGCCGAUAAGUCGCUUGCACGAAAGAGACUAGACUGAAACAAGACACCAAAUUAAGAUUGAAAUGAGACCGGAAUCUAGCCUGCUCCGAGCUGGCUUAUCCAAAACUUAUUCAGUAUUUUCCAACAUGGCUGCCCUGCGGUUCGCCCGCCUCGAGAUGCUCGCCGAGCACUUGCUGCGCCGCGAACGCGUGUUUCGCGACAGGACAAAUCCGCUGGACGCCUUCAGCGAGGAGGAGCUGCAGCGGCGCGUACGCUUCGGGCGGGACGGCAUAGUAUUUCUUGUCGAGUUCCUUCGCUCCGAGAUCGAGCACCCGAUGUGUCGGAGUGGUGCUUUGAGUGCCGAGCUGCAGGUGAUGCUGGCACUGAAAUUUUUUGCCUCCGGAUGCUCCUUGAUUACUGCCGGAGAUGUGAUCGGCGCCCACGAAUCGACCGCAAGCCGCACGGUACGCCGGGUUGCCUCAUCAGUUGGCCGUCGCCUAGAGGGGUGCGGGAAGCCCAAGGCUGCUUCUACGCUGUCGCUGGCUUUCCGCGCGUCGUGGGUGCAAUUGACGGCACGCAUGUGCGGAUACAGGCUCCUGGAGAGCAUGAAGAAGCCUACGUCAACCGCCACUUUUAUCACUCCAUAAACGCUGAACUUACUAAAUAAAGCAGUGGUUUUCUCGUUUA